CCCCCCCCACAAAAUCCGUCUAUGGCUAGCCCCGUGUAUGUUUGCAAAACUUGAUGUUAUAUUUGUUUUCCAGCCACACCGGACAUGUUAACUGCGAAAGAGCUAUUGGUGCUGGCUCCAUCACCUGACGAACAGAAAGAAUGGGUAUCUUAUCUCACGAAAAAGAUUGUUCCUAAACACAGACAAUCACCAAAGUAAGUGUGCUAAUCCUACAGCACAUGUUUUGUUGGUUCAAGUUCAAGUCUUUCAAAACAAAUAUGGACUUUAUUCUUGUUGUUCAAGUUUUCCUGUGCAUUGUAUGCGAAACUUUCUUAGUUAAAUUGACUUUUGUAGAAGUUCAUGAUAAAAAGGAAAGCAAAUUAUUUUCAUUAGUGUCCUGUAAGUCGAAAUUUUGCAAAUAUCACGCGUUCAUGAUCUAUACAAAUAACGU